CCUACGGGUGGCAGCAGUGGGGAAUAUUGCGCAAUGGGCGAAAGCCUGACGCAGCGACGCCGCGUGAGGGAUGAAGGUCUUCUGAUCGUAAACCUCUGUCAGCAGGGAAGAACGGUCACUGUGCUAAUCAGCAGUGAAUUGACGGUACCUGCAAAGGAAGCACCGGCUAAAUCCGUGCCAGCAGCCGCGGUAAUACGGAGGGUGCGAGCGGUCAUCGGUAUUACUGGGCGUAAAGCGCUCGUAGGCGGUAUGUCAAGUCAAGGGGGAAAUCCCCGCGCUCAACGUGGGAACUGCCUUUGAAACUGGCAAACUGGAGUGUGUGAGAGGAUAGUGGAAUGCCAGGUGUAGGAGUGAAAUCCGUAGAUAUCUGGAGGAACAUCAGUGGCGAAGGCGACUAUCUGGCACAUAACUGACGCUGAGGAGCGAAAGCGUGGGUAGCAAACAGGAUUAGAUACCCUUGUAGUC
rnacentral:rRNA from 1 species